CAACUCAAAAUCAAACAAAGACUCAACAGAUGAGCAGAGUAUGAACCAAUUUCAGUAUGCCCGCAGAAGGAACAUGAGCUGAUAGAAAGGAGAGAAAACGUCCAUGACAAAGCAGAAACAGAACAGCAGAGUCCAUAAAUAUGCA